UACGAGAGGUGCAAGCGUUGUUCGGAAUUAUUGGGCGUAAAGCGCACGUAGGCGGGGUAGUAUGUCGAUUGUGAAAUCCCAGGGCUCAACCCUGGAAUUGCAGUCGAAACUGCAACUCUUGAAUACUUGAGAGGGUGGGGGAAUUCCUGGUGAAGCAGUGAAAUGCGUAGAUAUCAGGAGGAACAUCGGAGGCGAAGGCGCCUACCUAGCAAGAUAUUGACGCUGAGGUGCGAAAGCGUGGGGAGCAAACAGG
rnacentral:rRNA from 1 species